rnacentral:lncRNA from 1 species
GAUUUAAUUAUUCGAGUUAUUAGCUAGUGAUUAUCUGUAAGACCUUAGAUAGUUCUAUAUAUAGAUAUAAUAGGGCUAAAAGCUUUUAGUUUGAUUAUAGCAUUUUAGGGGGCAACUAAGCACAACAGGCUAAAAGAGUUCAGCGUGCCAGGACUAGAGCCAGGACUAGAGUAGUUCUAGAAUGGGUGAUCCUCUGGGAAGUUACAGUAUUACAAUUGGUAUUAGAGCCAAUUACCAGUCAGAAAUGUAAAAUUAGUCUCGGCUGAGUUAGGAUUAUACAGCGAGUAGAGCGAGGUGCUCAUGCUGAUGACUGUACAAUAACCCACUCUCUAUAGGGACUCACUACAAUAGUUACACUGUCCCAAA